rnacentral:rRNA from 1 species
UACGUAGGGGGCGAGCGUUGUCCGAAGUUACUGGGCGUAAAGCGCGCGUAGGCGGGGGAUUAAGUGAGAGGUGAAAGGCUGGGGCUCAACCUCAUGCAGUGCCUCUCAUACUGGUCCUCUUGAGGGCGGUAGGGAGAAGUGGAAUGGCUGGUGUAGCGGUGAAAUGCGUAGAUAUCAGGAGGAACACCGAUGGCGAGGGCAGGUCUCUGGGCAUUAACUGACGCUGAGGAGCGAAAGCAUGGGGAGCGAACAGG